rnacentral:lncRNA from 1 species
GGAGCUCCGGCUGGCGGUGCACGACGGCCAUGGCUGCUCGGGCUUGCUGCUGGGCGUCCGACCAGAUCUGGAAUUUUCGAGCAGCAAAUGGAGGGAGAGAAGAAAGGCGGAGCUGCACGCACGCGGGCGAGCGGAGCGGUGGGCGACGGACGAACGGCGACGGCAAAGCCUCCGGCAGACGAGCGGGUGGCCGGCGAGCUGUUGGCGGCGUCUAAGGAAGAAGAAGAAAACGUCCAUGGAGGAAUCGCACGGGAGAGGAAGAAGAGAGGGAGGAGAGAG